AUAUUUAAAAAAAAAAAUUAUCCUAUGAUAUUUUAGAUCUAAGAUCUAUUAGAUCUAAUUCUUAUUAUCUGAUAUUAAAUCUAAAAUUAAAUCUAAAAUCAUGAGGAAUAGAGAAAUACCUCUAGGGUAACUAGAUUAUCCCGUAGAUGAUUGCAGCAAUGCCCGAGGUUCUAAAAUAGCCACACAGUCGCCUGGCCUCUACCAGUAUCCACUCAAGUAGGAUCUAGAUUAUCUUCUCCUCACAAAUUUUUACUCCAAAAAUUAGAUCUGGAUCUGAUCUGGAAGAUCUUCAAAAGAUCUUCUGAAGCUGGAGCAGCAGCUUCUCGAUAAAUCUCUGCAGCCUUCUAAUCAAAGAGCCACCACGCCUUGGACAAGCAUCAGAUGGAUGCCCAACAUCUUGGAUGUGAAGAGAAAAGGGAGAGAAGUAGAGGGGGCAUGG
rnacentral:lncRNA from 1 species